UAGACUAGGGAGGGUUGCUACAGGUUAAUUGGAGCACCUGCAGUCAAUUAAGGCCCUGUCAGGAACCUAAUAAAAGCCCCUGCUUCAGGCAGACAGAAAAAAGGAGGAAGGAGAGAGGACUAGAGCUUGGAGGCAUGCUGUGAGACUUGAAAGAUCAGAGAACUGCCGUAAGGGAGACUCUACCCCAGUGUCUAAGGACUGACGGUACCCCACCCAAGGGGGAAGAGGUCCUCAGGAAAAUUUUGGCAACCUGCCAGAACAAUAACUGAACAUUAUUGCAGCAGCAGCAGGAGGAGGAGGAACUCUGGGGACCAGACAGCCUUUCUGGGACUGGGGAAACUGGAUCAGACUCCCCAUGGCACAUGGCCCCCAUGUUCCAGCCCACCCCAGACAGACCAAGUCUCCCAAUACAGCAGGGAGACUCCUGUUUGCAACCAAAACCUCCUCAUUCCCAAUUUAAUGUUAUUUCCUGGAUAAAAAUAACAUUGCCUGGAAUCCGUGGCAGCCACACAUGCACAUCAGCCAUUGUUUGGAGAAACUCUAGCCAGAGCUGUCCCUUGGGUAGUACGAAUCGGGGUGACAGCUCCAGGCUUUGGGGGGCCAUGCAGGCCGGUGCGAUUAGCUGGCGCAGUCGGUCCCAGAAAAGACAAAUCCGUCACUUCUGCACCAGGCCCUGCCGCUCUGGGCCCCAUGACUUGGGGGUCCUCACGGGCUGGUGUGAUUGCUCAGCACAGUCAGUCCCGGAAGAGACGAAUCCAUCUCUUCUGCCCCAGGCUCUGCACCCCGCUGGGGAUGGCCCUGACAUAUGGCAGAUGCACAACAUGCUGGCCACCGAGCAUUAUUCUGAGGACGAGGCUAUCAAAGGGAGGGAGGCAGCGGUUACCACCUCAGUUCCUUCCACUACUAAUGCUGAGCCAGUAGAAAACAGGACCUCACAAAACAGAGGAAGGAGGGCAGGGCAUGUGAAU